UUGUAGUUACCAUUGAAUGACACUAAUGAUGUGGUACAGGUUCUGGCGAGCACCUACACCCGUUGAACUUGGACUGCCUGUGAAAAGAGCAGCUAAUAGCUUAGAGCCCUGAAACACUUGGACCUUCCUGGCACCACUUUUGAUCGGAAGUGUUGGCUGUUAAAGGGUUUAACCCAAUCAAUGAAUGAAUCAAUCAAUUCAUCGAUCGGUUGAUCAAUUGUGUUUACUCAGGAUGCCUUUAUUCUACACACCUCCUCUCCCCACCUGCCUGUGCAGCAUGUUAGUUUCUCGGCCCUGAACUUGCUGCUUGCCGAUGUGGAGCUGUGUCUGACAGCGCUUGCUGCACACCGCAUCAAGAAAUUCCAGACGUCGUGCCACUUUGUCGAAACCAUUAAGAGCCACCCGCCCCCACCAUCAAGGUGCCCGUCUGGAAAGAUCAGGCUGCACAUCCACACAUCGACACCUUCAGCUCAGGCGAAACUGCGACUUUUUUGGUUGUGAAAAUGACGAGACUUCCAGCAUCGACGUGCUGGGUGCUGGCAGCAAACAUGCUGGCAGCAAACAAAAGCUGGAACUGUGACGAACUGUUUUGCAUGUGCACAGUUUGUUGUAUCCACCCAGGAAGCCAAGUGAAGUUGAUGUGGACUAAAGGACUACUGAUGACGACUGCAAGACAGUGCUUGCAAAACUUUUGGAGCGACAAAGUGCAGAAUGGUGAAAAUGAUGCUGAAACAUGUGAAAAUUUGUCUGACAGUGACAUCUUUAACUUUGCCAGUGCCAAGUCGCCCUGCUCAAGUGACGGUGAGGACGACACUGAGCUGAAAGAUGCGCCGUGUCUGCCAGUUGCGGAAACAGCGCAAGCACUAGAUGUGAUGUGGCUGUUCACUGAAAAGAGGGAUUAAUGGACGCAUUGGCUUUCCACGUGGAUAACUUCGAGACUGCAGUUGUCGCUGCGAGGUCACCGAAGCAGCAAACAAAACUGAGGGAUUUCUUGUGGCCUCUUUCCAUGAAAUAAAAAGGUUUUCUGCUUUU